GUUUGCCUGUGGCCUUCUAUGGGUGAGCAAGUUCUUUCCUUUGUUUCUGUGUCCAUGGCUGCUCCAUUUGGGCUUGUUCUUACUUGCUGCAGCCUGGGACGUUGCUACCCUGCUGUCAUUGCUGUGCUUUCCAUUGCCUUAUAGUGUUACAUCAAUAUAAUUCAGAAUGUCAUUAGGGCUCGACCUGGCAGUUCCUGUGGCAGAGCUGUGAUGAGCAGGAGUGCUGAGUUGCUUCCCACAGUGCUACACAACACCGUGUUGUACUGCGUGAGGGAAUGUGCUGGGCUCACAGCAGCCUGCAUCCAAGAGAAAGGAAGGGAGCCUUCCCAGUGCUCUGAUACCCAGCAGAUGUGAUGUUACCAGGUCAAGGAUUCGAGAGGAUCAGGCAAUGGAAAAAGCUGUACUCAGAUGAUGCUUUAAAGCUGUAAAGAGGAAGAUGUGAUGGACUGAAUCAUCCUGUGCUCAGCAGCAGGUCUGAGCACUGCUGCACAGCUUUUUCCAAGCUGUGUUGUGUUUGAGUGGUCCUUCGUUGGCUCCUGAAGCUGUUUCUUAGGGCUGCACUAAGCCAUUACAAUUCAUGCAAAUCAAAUCUGCUCAUGGCUUGUUUAUGGCUUGGGCACUGUUUGCAGUGUUUCAGUGCCUCAUUUCUAGGGAGUUGUGAUUCUUUUUCAUCCUUAGAAGCCCACUAGAAAGGCUUUCCCCCCUCUAACCAGGUUCUGUCAAGGUCGGUGACCUGCUAUGAGCCCAAAUAUGAUGCAUGCAAUAUUAAAACCUGACUCUUCAGCUAUGCUGGGAGGAUUUUUUUUUCUAAAGCACUUGUAGUUCAAAAAAUCUGGGGCAAGCCAGGCUGCCAAUUAUUACUGUGCCUUUGUCCUGUGAUCCGGUGACUGAAAAUCUGAAGUAAGAUGUGCUCCAGCUGUGGUUUUGGUGCUGUUUUGGACUCUGUAAGAGAGGUUGAGCCCCGUCUGUAGGUUCAUCCUUUCUGCAGAGCUGGGCAGGGUGCAUCCCUCCUCUUCUCCCAAUUAGCUGUGACAUGAUUUUUUUUUUAAACCACAGCAGCAGAUCCUGGUAUGAAUGAUAUUUAGAGGAUGGGCUGUGCUUUAAUUUUGGUGAUCUCAGCAAUUUGGCUUGAAAGCUGUGUAACAGUCCUGGGUUCUGUACAACCCUC
rnacentral:lncRNA from 1 species